rnacentral:rRNA from 1 species
GAAAGCUUUCGCGGUAUGGGAUGGGCCCGCGUCUGAUUAGGCAGUUGGCGGGGUAACGGCCCACCAAACCGACGAUCAGUAGCCGGCCUGAGAGGGCAACCGGCCACAUUGGGACUGAGACACGGCCCAAACUCCUACGGGAGGCAGCAGUGGGGAAUAUUGCACAAUGGGGGGAACCCUGAUGCAGCGACGCCGCGUGGGUGAAGGAGUAUUUCGGUAUGUAAAGCCCUAUCAGCAGGGAAGAACAAUGACGGUACCUGACUAAGAAGCACCGGCUAAAUACGUGCCAGCAGCCGCGGUAAUACGUAUGGUGCAAGCGUUAUCCGGAUUUACUGGGUGUAAAGGGAGCGCAGGCGGCGCGUUAAGCCUGGUGUGAAAGCCCGCGGCCCAACCGCGGGACUGCAUUGGGAACUGGCGCGCUGGAGUGCCGGAGGGGUAGGCGGAAUUCCUAGUGUAGCGGUGAAAUGCGUAGAUAUUAGGAGGAACACCAGUGGCGAAGGCGGCCUACUGGACGGUGACUGACGCUGAGGCUCGAAAGCGUGGGGAGCAAACAGGAUUAGAUACCCUGGUAGUCCACGCCGUAAACGGUGAAUACUAGGUGUCGG